UACAGAGGUCUCAAGCGUUGUUCGGAUUCAUUGGGCGUAAAGGGUGUGUAGGUGGCGCGCUAAGUCGGGUGUGAAAUUUCGGAGCUUAACUCCGGAAACUGCAUUCGAUACUGGCGUGCUUGAGGACUGGAGAGGAGACUGGAAUUCAUGGUGUAGCAGUGAAAUGCGUAGAGAUCAUGGAGGAAGACCAGUGGCGAAGGCGGGUCUCUGGACAGUUCCUGACACUGAGACACGAAGGCCAGGGGAGCAAACGGG
rnacentral:rRNA from 1 species